UAUUUAUACACAUACAUAAUUAAAUAUAAAAAUAAGUCAAUUCGUGCUUGCUAUAGCAAGAAAGUUUAAUCUAUUCCAGUGUUCUCUUCUCCAUGAGACACCCUGUUAUACAGGCUCAAACAAU